AUUGAACGCUGGCGGCAGGCUUAACACAUGCAAGUCGAACGCGUGGCGGACGGGUGUGUAAUGUCUGGGAAACUGCCCGAUGGAGGGGGAUAACUACUGGACACGGUAUCUAAUACCGCAUACCAUCCGAUGUUCCCAGAUGGUAUUAUCUAGUAGGUGGGGUAACGGCGCACCUAGGCGACGCUCCCUAGCUGGUCUGCGAGGAUGACCAGCCACAAGGGAAAGGGGACAAGGGCCAGACUCCUACGGGAGGCAGCAGUGGGGAAUAUGGCACAAUGGGCGCAAGACUGAUGCAGCCAUGCCGCGUGUAUGAAGAAGGACGUCGGGUUGUAAAGUACGUUCAGCGAGGAGGCGUUACUGGCAGAAGAAGCACCGGCUAACUCCGGGCCAGCAGCCGCGGUAAUAC
rnacentral:rRNA from 1 species